AUUGAACGCUGGCGGCAGGCCUAACACAUGCAAGUCGAACGAGUGGCGGACGGGUGAGUAAUGUCUGGGAAACUGCCCGAUGGAGGGGGAUAACUACUGGAAACGGUAGCUGAUACCGCAUACCAUCGGAUGUGCCCAGGUGGGAUUAGCUAGUGGGAGGGGUAACGGCUCACCAAGGCGACGAUCCUUAGCUGGUCUGAGAGGAUGACCAGCCACCCUGGAACUGAGACACGGUCCAGACUCCUACGGGAGGCAGCAGUGGGGAAUAUUGGACAAUGGGCGAAAGCCUGACGCAGCAACGCCGCGUGAGUGAAGAAGGUCUUCGGAUCGUAAAGCCCUUUUAUUAGGGAAGCGGUACCUAAUCAGAAAGCACCGGCUAACUUCGUGCCAGCCGCCGCGGUAAUAC
rnacentral:rRNA from 1 species